ensembl:lncRNA
UCUCCAAAGCAAAUAAUUAAACAGCAGCAGUAAAAUAACAGAGGCUAUAUACAGGAGGUACCAGUACAGAGUCAAUGUGGAGGCUAUAUACAGGGGGUACCAGUACAGAGUCAAUGUGGAGGCUAUAUACAGGGGGUACCGGUACAGAGUCAAUGUGGAGGCUAUAUACAGGGGGUACCAGUACAGAGUCAAUGUGGAGGCUAUAUACAGGGGGUACCAGUACAGAGUCAAUGUGGAGGCUAUAUACAGGGGGUACCAGUACAGAGUCAAUGUGGAGGCUAUAUACAGGGUGUACCGGUACAGAGUCAAUGUGGAGGCUAUAUACAGGGGGUACCGGUACAGAGUCAAUGUGGAGGCUAUAUACAGGGGGUACCGGUACAGAGUCAAUGUGGAGGCUAUAUACAGGGGGUACCGGUACAGAGUCAAUGUGGAGGCUAUAUACAGGGUAUUACGGUACAGAGUCAAUGUGGAGGCUAUAUACAGGGUAUUACGGUACAGAGUCAAUGUGGAGGCUAUAUACAGGGUAUUACGGUACAGAGUCAAUGUGGAGGCUAUAUACAGGGGGUACCGGUACAGAGUCAAUGUGGAGGCUAUAUACAGGGGGUACCGGUACAGAGUCAAUGUGGAGGCUAUAUACAGGGGUACCGGUACAGAGUCAAUGUGGAGGCUAUAUACAGGGGGUACCGGUACAGAGUCAAUGUGGAGGCUAUAUACAGGGGUACCGGUACAGAGUCAAUGUGGAGGCUAUAUACAGGGAUUACCGGUACAGAGUCAAUGUGGAGGCUAUAUACAGGGUAUUACGGUACAGAGUCAAUGUGGAGGCUAAAUACAGGGUAUUACGGUACAGAGUCAAUGUGGAGGCUAUAUACAGGGGGCACCGGUACAGAGUCAAUGUGGAGACUAUAUACAGGGGGUACCGGUACAGAGUCAAUGUGGAGGCUAUAUACAGGGGGUACC